GUAGGUGAACCUGCGGAAGGAUCAUUAAAAGAUUUAGCAUAUUCUUCUGGAUAUACUUUAUUAACCCAUUCUGAGUACAUUACCUGUUGCUUCCGCGAGGCUGUCCUCACGGCCCUUUGAAGAUUUAUCUUUGGAGAGUCCUUGCGGAAGGUAUACAAUAAACUCUUGCAUUACCAUGUCAUCUGUCUGAAUCUGUUUAAAACAAAUAUUAAAACUUUCAACAACGGAUCUCUUGGUUCUCGCAUCGAUG
rnacentral:misc_RNA from 1 species